UACGUAGGGUGCGAGCGUUAAUCGGAAUUACUGGGCGUAAAGGGUGCGCAGGCGGCGUCGCAAGUCAGGCGUGAAAUCCCCGGGCUUAACCUGGGAACUGCACUUGAAACUACGAUGCUGGAGUAUGGCAGAGGGAGGUGGAAUUCCACGUGUAGCGGUGAAAUGCGUAGAGAUGUGGAGGAACACCGAUGGCGAAGGCAGCCUCCUGGGCCAAUACUGACGCUCAUGCACGAAAGCUAGGGGAGCAAACAGG
rnacentral:rRNA from 1 species